CAUUAAAACGGCUGAACUAUUACGACCAAAAGUAAAUUCCUCGUAAUAGUUGUGAAGGAAAAAUAAAAAUAAUUAUAAAAACAAAUUGGUCGUCGUUAUUUCCUAUUUCUGCAGGGCCAUAGGUUUGAAUUUACAAAGGCCACCUUCUUAAAAUUUCAACCUAAAACCCAAAUUUGCGAUUCAUACUCUCUUUCUCCCUCUCUGUCUCUCUCUCUCCUACUUCCGCGAUCCCCUUUCGAAAUGGGUUGUAGCAAUCAAUUUAGCAUUUUGGUUAAAUUUUUUGGUAUGGUCAAACUCUGAUAUGGCUGUCAAAUUCUUGAAUUGCAGUAACCUAAUUCUGGUAAAUUCCUUAAUUUUCUCGAUUUAUAUAACUAAUUUCAAACGUUAUUGUGAAUUGAACUAUAGUAUCUUUUGUUGUUGUUGUUGCGGCCUGAAUUGUUUAAUUUAUUGUUAUUCAAGGGGAAAUCUUCUAAUCGCAGGUCAAUCUCCAAAUUCUAGUUUGUAAACCCUCAAAUUUAUAAUUUCCUCGUGAUAUUUUCAUAUGGGUUUGUGGUAUUUCACUCCUUUGAAUGGUCUUAAUAAAAUGGGUAUCUCAAUUUCACCAAAACCUCGAUAAAUAGAAGAUUUUCUCAAACGGCUCCUAAUCAAUUCGAAAUCUGAAGCCUUCAAGAUUGAAGUUAUGAUUCCUUGUAGGAACGACAAUAUGAAGUAUUUGAAGGUCAUAAUCCUAAAUGGGAUUAGUUCGUUAACUAAGAAGAUCAAAGAUAGCAUUUUGUGUUGAAUAAGGUAAAUUCGGAUUUUUAUCAUCGCAAAUUUAACUUUUCUACUUAUCUGAGUUGUAAUUUGAAGAGAAUAGGUCCUGAAAGGGAAAUGAAUAAGGUACCUAAGAAGGCAGAAGAUAGAAUUUUGUUAAGGUAAAUUCAAGUCUUUAUCAUCGGAAAUUUACUUUUUUUACUUUUAUGAGUUGUAAUUUAAAGCUAAUAGGUUCUGAAAGGGAAAUAAAGGGCAACAUUAAUUCAGGUAAUACUUUUAUCUACGUGUUUAUAUAAUUGAAGUCGUGCCCUCUCUUUUCCUCAAGAAGAAAUAUUUAGCAUAGUUUCUACAAUUCCUUUUGGCAAUAUCGAAUCUGGCUUAAAGAAAGGAAAUAGAUUCACUGUUGUAAAAGAUGGUAGGUCAAGAUUCCAUCUAAGUAUUGCCUCGGAACUUAUCAUGUAUAUGCUUCUUCUGCAAUCUGCAUACCAACAAUAGUUUUCAAACAAAGAAUUGACCAUUUAUUUUAAUUUAUGUAAGGUGUGAUGCUCACGCAUUUGUCUACCCCUGAACAAGUCACUAAAAGAAGUAUUUAUCACCUUAAUGCCAAGUUAGCAUAUGGAUGGUUUAGUUAAGACGAUAUGCUCACGACUCAUUGACUUGUAUGAUUAUGGUGUUAGAGAAUUGCUAUUGCAACCCUUUCCGAUCAAUUUUUGAAUCUAAAUAUAUAGAAAUGUUGUUCUUAUUUUAAGCAUGCUGUUUUUCCCUAGGCAAGUUGUUUGAUAAAAUAUACACUUCUCUGAGUUGUUAUUUGAAAAAUAUUGAUAGAAUUUGGAACAAAAUUCCCCUUCAGGACCUAUUUCUAAGGCUAGUUAUGGAACAAAAUUGUUCCUUUAGUUUGUAGUUCACUCUUAGAAUUAGAAUCUUCUCAUACUACCCAACACAAACUGUGUGUAGGGAAUUAUAGAUUGUGUCUUUUGUAUAGUAUCGCUUUGACUAGAAUUGCAGUUACUAGAAUAUUAUUACCAUCUUUUGAUUGAAAGUUGACUCUUUGCCUCUCUUGUUGUUGCUUUGUAGAUACUAGGUGUGGAUAAUGUACACUCAAUAUACGUUAAUGCAUUACCAAAUGGUGAAAAAGGGAGAAAAUAAGGGGAAUAUCCAACUUUGGUUGAUGUAUUCUGCGCGACUCUCAAGGAGGGCACUAGCCUCCCUAAUGCAGAAACGACACAAAAUAAGUAUGUCCUUUCUCACCUAUAUCAGCUUUUGCUGAAAUAACUAUGGAUUUUCAGUUAUAUAAACUGAUAAACUUACAAGUAGUUGUAGCCAAUAUGCAAUGUUGUCAAGAUAUCAGUUCUUAGUUGGUGCGAUAAGGUGAUAUUCCCCUUCUGUAAAUGUAAGUUUUUGUGAUUUUGGACUCUAGAAACUCAUGACAGAUCUAAAUCAUGUUUUUUACAUACAAGUUCUCAUUGUGAGAUGAUUUCAGUUACUGAAGUGCAAAUGCUGUCAGUUUUUCAGCUAAUAUGUAUAGCCAUUUUUUGUGCCUGUGUAGUGUUGCGCCCGUGGUGAGAAUGCCUAAGAUCAUCAAUAUUCAAUACUGGCUUAUAUAUUAAUUAAGAAUACUUCCAUGGUUUUCAAGACUCAUUUUGCAAUUCCUAAGGAGGAAAUUCAAAUGGAAGAAGAACCAACACUUUCCCAUAUACAUACACAGGAGGAAAUUCUUCAUUUAUAUCUUUUUUUUUAAUUUUAUUUUCACUUUCCCAUGCCAUGAUAUUUAACUUUUUUGCCUCUUUAUACAGGUAGCACAAAAGUUGUUAAAGUUGAAGUCUCGUGAUCGGGUUUUUGGUUUUGGAGGAGGAAUUACACUUGAAGAAAUGUCAGGACCACAACCUAGUAGGGUGGAACUUCAAUCUAAGAAACUCACGUUCUUACCAAUCGCGUGGAUGCGGUACAAGAAGAAAACAUUGCACUCCAAGAUUAGCUUAAUGAGAUUAAAGCAUUUAAAGAAGUGUUCUUACAACGCUUUUCAAGAGAUGGCACUCCAAGAGAAAACUUCAACUAGUCAGGCGUUUAUUGUUCUUUUAGAUUGAACAAAAAUUAAUUAUCCUUUAGCUCUUUUAGAAUUUAAAGACAAGGGGAUGUGAGUUUUGAUUUCACAUAACUUGAAAUUCUAUUGUAAAAAAUCUUUUGAGUAAUGAAAUUUUCAUUUGUUUUAA